UCUUGUUGCUAACUCAAAUGGACAUCUCUUAUAUUGCUAAUUACAGUAAUUUAUAAGCACAUACUUAAUAUUGCUCUCAUGUCAUGAAGAAACAACCCACCAAUAGCGGUUUCCUGAAUGUUCCAUGGUGCAUGCAUUUUUCUUUUGAUUUCAGUUUCAGUGCAAUAAACAACUCUUUAGCGAAUUUAUAUUUAUCCAUUGUUUCUAUUAUAUCCUUCAUUUCUUUCCUAUUAUGUUCUCAACAAAAAUUUGUUCUUCAAUUUUUGCCUUCAUUAUUGUAGGGGAGGCGUGGCCUAGAUAGUGAGAUAGGGAACCAGGGACAUCGGGUCGCAUUCUUUUUCUAGGGUAAUGUGCAACAGGUAAAAUACAAACACCAACUUCGGUGCUUGUAGGUCGGGUUUUUAUGUACGACACACUUCAGAAAGGAUUUGGUGACCGAUGAUUGGAAUUCCUAGAGAAAUGUUGUUUCUUUUGAGCAAUUAAAUGUUGUUGUUGACUUUUGUCAUCCACAAAGAAUGGUUCCUUAAACAGUUAGUGCUCAUAACAGGUUUCUUAAUUAGCUUUUCGCUCACUUUUCUAUCCUUAAUUUUCUUAAGAUGCAUGGGUACGAAAUUGGGGUUUAAAAAAUGUGGCCAUGAAAAGUAUUUCACAUAAACCAUGGAGUGGCCAAAUUGACAAAGGGGUCCUGUCGUCAUUGCCCGUCUAUUCUCAUACUGGAUUUUGCAGCUAUUCAUUAUGGAGAAUAAAAUUGUUAAUGUUUUUCUGUUUUUUCUUCCGGCAGGAUUAAUGAAAUAAAAAUUGUCCCUUAUAGUUAUGUGGUCCUAUUCAUAAGAAAUUUUGGAUUGUGUUUUUACUUUAUGGUACGUUUUCAGGCGUAGCUAUUUUAGAACUAAAAUGUUUGUGAUCUUUUUUCCCACAAAAAAAAAAAAAAAAGAUUGUGAUCUUUUUAUUGUUUUAUUCAUUUCUACGCCAUUUUGCUGUGAAAACCCUAGAGAAGAUAAAAACCUGAGAAAAUGAGGUUCCGACAUACGGUAGGAAAGAUUUGCAUAAAAAAG
rnacentral:lncRNA from 1 species